AACCCAUGAUAAAGGCACCUUCUCAAAAGAUCCUUAAAUCUCUCCCAUGUAUCAUAAAGAGUUUUAAUAUCAAACUAAAAAAUGGAAGAGAUGUUGUUCCUCAACUU
rfam:Gossypium hirsutum cultivar TM-1 chromosome 1, whole genome shotgun sequence